UACAGAGGUGUCUAGCGUUGUCCGGAAUUACUGGGCGUAAAGGGCGUGUAGGUGGGCGGGCAAGUCGGAUGUGAAAUCACUGGGCUUAACCCAGUAACUGCAUCCGAAACUGCUUGUCUUGAGUGCAGAAGAGGAGAGUGGAAUUCCCAGUGUAGCGGUGAAAUGCGUAGAUAUUGGGAGGAACACCAGUGGCGAAGGCGGCUCUCUGGUCUGUAACUGACACUGAAACGCGAAAGCUAGGGGAGCAAACGGG
rnacentral:rRNA from 1 species